AAUUUCGAGAGGGCUACUUGGUGUGCUAAUAGGAUAACACCAGAGUGUUUGGUGACACAUGUGGGCUAUAAGGGGCGAAAGAGAAACCACGUUCAGGGGAUUUGUGGACACAAAAUACCCUGGGGAGCAAUAGAAUGAUAGCCGUAGAGGAAAUGAGUGGAAAAAAGAGAUGCUUCCUAAGACACUGAGGUCUGUUGGGGUCAGAGGAUGGGACGGACUGAGUAAGAAAGUGGCAGAUGAGACGAGUCGGGGGAAUGAUGGAGAAACGGCGAGGAAGCAGUAAAGAGAGAGGAAAACUGGAAGGAAGAGUGGAAGGAAAGAUCAAAUCAGGCAAUGCAGCAAAUGGCUUUGACAUCUGCAUUCCCACUUAGAGGACAGCCGAGCAGCAGAGAGGAGAUGAGAGUAGAGGCGAAACAGAGCAAAGGAGAGAUUGGCAACGUAAAGCAUAAAACAACAAAGCGAACAGGCAGGAGAUCAGUUACAAAACGACCCCCAAUGAGAAUCCCACCUCUCCCCGUCUGGUUGCAGGUGUGCGUGGAGUCAAGUUAAUGUGCUGGCAAAAUCAUUACAACACUAUACAGUUAAAGUCCUCUGCAGUGGAAACAUCUUGACUGAAUCAUGACCAAAAAGGAAAGAAAAAAAAAAACCCAAAGCAGCAA